rnacentral:lncRNA from 1 species
ACAGCUCUUCCCCAGAGCCGCUCGCCUCCAUAAUAGCCCUGCCACCUCUCAUUAGCAGUUUCCCCAUGGUAAUCCAAAGAGACAUCACCAUUCCGGUGCAGCCCAGCGUGGGUCAUUUCCAUGAAACAGCAGAAUUCAUUACGAAUGAGCACCAGAGAAAUCUGCGGCAGGCAGAAGAUAGAGAAGUAAAUGGGGAGAGACUUUAGAGCACACCUCAUGCAUCUAUAAUACAAUUACUUGCCAAAGGGAAUGACAGCUUUGAUGUGAUUUUUUUUUUUUAUUUUUUUUUUUCUACAGUAAGUCCCGGAAUCUAAGCACAGAACAGCACCUUCCAUAGGCUCUGAAAUGAAGAUGAAAGGGAAUUGCAGCUCAUCGACUGAUUUGCAAAGAGCUUCACAUGCUCCCAGGCAGGAUCGUGUAGCAGCUCUGAAAUCAAUGAGGCAUUUGCCAUUUCCCUCUCACCUUGCCCACCUGUGGAUUGGCACAGGCCCAUGGCUCAGGAUUUAUGCCUGUGGAUUUCUUCUGCUUGAACAUGAAAGCAAAUGCCACUUUGGCUCAUCUUCACUCGAAGAAGGAGAGGGGGCAGGGAAACCUCCGAUGUCAUAG